rnacentral:rRNA from 1 species
UACAGAGGUCCCAAGCGUUGUUCGGAUUCAUUGGGCGUAAAGGGUGCGUAGGCGGCGCGGUAAGUCGGAUGUGAAAUCUCGGAGCUUAACUUCGAAACUGCAUUCGAUACUGCCGUGCUUGAGGACUGGAGAGGAGACUGGAAUUUACGGUGUAGCGGUGAAAUGCGUAGAUAUCGUAAGGAAGACCAGUGGCGAAGGCGGGGUCUCUGGACAGUUCCUGACGCUGAGGCACGAAGGUCAGGGGAGCAAACGGG